rnacentral:lncRNA from 1 species
UGUAUGAUGGACUUUUCCUGUUGACUUGAUUGAGGUAUCAUCAAAGGUAGGCAUCACUGAAGAAUGAGAGGAAAUUCUCUCAACAAGGGAGGAAGAAGAGAUUCUCAAGCACCUUCCUCACCUAAACAGCAUUAGCAGUGCACAUGGAUUAACCAGAGCACGUCACACACAGAAACCACGGGGAUCAGAAGGGACUGCAUCCUGUGAGAUAUCGGGAGGGGGACAGAUGGGAAAAGCAGGAGGGAACAGGUCUGCCUCUCCAAUGCCAAGGCUUGAGUCAGCCUGGCAGGCGGUCAGCCUAGAAAUAUCCUGAAGAGGUGUUUUGGUCAACAUCUUAUGCCAAACAUUUGGAACUUCUUUGUCCAUGAAUCUAUGGAUAAGUCUUACAUGUUGCACUGCAUCAAACGCUUUGUGGAAGACAAAGACAGCUCCUGCAUAAAUACUAUUUUCUCUGUCUUGGCUCCUCCUCAGCUACUAAACCCCAUAGGCUCCCAAAAAAGGCAUUCUGGAGAAAUGAAUACUAAGUGUGAGCAGGAAGAACAAGUUUCCAGUCCUGUCAGAUUAAUUAAACUGAUGGAAAACGAAGCAAGGUUUGCCUUUAGGGAGACUCAACUGUCCUUCACCCAAGAAGCAGGACAUAUCAUCUCUCAAAUGAAAGAAAUUCAUACCCAUGAUGAGUAACAUUUCAAUUAAAAUUCAUCAUAAACAGCUGGAUUUAUAUCUUCCCAGGACAAUGUGAAUCAUUUUUGAUGCUAGGAAAUGCAGUUCAUAAACUUCCAUUGUCAUCGUAGAAUUUCUACUUCCACGAGAACUUGUUUUAUAUUAGUAAAUAAAACAUCAUCUGAC